rnacentral:rRNA from 1 species
GACGAACGCUGGCGGCGUGCUUAACACAUGCAAGUCGAACGGUAAGGCCCUUCGGGGUACACGAGUGGCGAACGGGUGAGUAACACGUGGGUGAUCUGCCCUGCACUUCGGGAUAAGCCUGGGAAACUGGGUCUAAUACCGGAUAGGACUCCGGACUGCAUGGUCUGGGGUGGAAAGCUUUUGCGGUGUGGGAUGGGCCCGCGGCCUAUCAGCUUGUUGGUGGGGUGAUGGCCUACCAAGGCGACGACGGGUAGCCGGCCUGAGAGGGUGACCGGCCACACUGGGACUGAGAUACGGCCCAGACGCCUACGGGAGGCAGCAGCGGAGAAUAUUGCACAAUGGGCGCAAGCCUGAUGCAGCGACGCCGCGUGAGGGAUGACGGCCUUCGGGUUGUAAACCUCUUUCAGCACAGACGAAGCGCAAGUGACGGUAUGUGCAGAAGAAGGACCGGCCAACUACGUGCCAGCAGCCGCCGUAA